rnacentral:sRNA from 1 species
AAUUUGAAAACUAUGACUAAGGGUCCGAAUAGUGACUGCGUUUUGUGGUGUGGGAGAAGUGUGGUGCGGUUCAAAUAGUAACGAAAAUACAUAUAUAUAUAUAUAUAUAUAUAUAUAUAGAAAUUUUGAUACUGUUACAAUACUGUUGCAGUGCGGUUUUGUGUACGGUCUAUAUCACCAUUUAUAGCCUAAUUUAAGUGAUAAAAAACCAGAAAAGAUGGCGGCUAAAAAGCUAGAAAAAGAGUGACUGUAAAAAAAUUUAUU